GAACGUCUGAGAUUUCAUUUUCGUCGCUGCCAGCUUCCAAAAGUAGAACUGUCCAAUUCGACACCUCGGAUAGCCUCGAUGCGACCACUGCACCUGCGCUCCCACCUCCGACCACUAUGAAAUCACGAAAUUUGAAGUUUGAAAGAAAAGUAAUUCUGAAAUGUGGGCUGUGGAAAAGUUGGCACAACGAAGGAUCUAUACUCUGUUGUAUCGACCACAGAGUAAAUUUUCAACCAACCUGGCGAGCAUUAGUCGGGUGAGACUCUGGAUCCGCUUGAUUGUAUCGGAACACGGUCAGGCUGAUCGCUAAGAGGGGAAUCAGGCUGAAUCCGAGGAUCGAAGUAGUACUAAGC